CCAGUCUGAAGGGCUGCACCUUCAUUGUGAGUAUAGAGCUUCCUUUGCAAUAUUCAUCCUUCUUACCUAGUCCCCUGUUGCGAUUAUACUUCUGGUUAUUUAAAUGUUGUCAAAGACUAGGAACGUUACCCAGAUCUUAAAAACUAUUCCAGUCUUCCUGCAUCCAACCAAAAUGUUUUAAAAUAUAACAAACCUGUGAAGAAAUGUAG